CAAGGAAUCUUCCGCAAUGGGCGAAAGCCUGACGGAGCAACGCCGCGUGUGGGAUGACGCCUUUCGGGGUGUAAACCACUUUUCUCAGGGAAGAAGCACUGACGGUACCUGAGGAAGAAGGACCGGCUAACUACGUGCCAGCAGCCGCGGUAAUACGUAGGGUCCGAGCGUUGUCCCGGAGUUACUGGGCGUAAAGCGCGCGCAGGCGGCGGUGUAAGCAUGGCGUGAAAGCCCCUGGCUUAACCAGGGAGGGUCGUCGUGGACUGCACCGCUUGAGGGCGGUAGGGGCUGGUGGAAUGCCUGGUGUAGUGGUGAAAUGCGUAGAGAUCAGGCGGAACACCCGUGGCGAAGGCGGCCAGCUGGGCCGUCCCUGACGCUGAGGCGCGAAGGCGUGGGGAGCGAACGGGAUUAGAUACCCCGGUAGUCCACGCAGUAAACGAUGCAGACUAGGCGUGGGGGGAGUUGGCCCCCUCCGUGCCGGAGCCAACGCGGGAAGUCUGCCGCCUGGGGAGUACGGCCGCAAGGCUA
rnacentral:rRNA from 1 species